GACGAACGCUGGCGGUGUGCUUAACACAUGCAAGUCGAACGGUAAGGCCCUUUCGGGGGUCCACGAGUGGCGAACGGGUGAGUAACACGUGAGUAACCUGCCCUCAUCUCUGGGAUAACAGUCGGAAACGGUUGCUAAUACUGGAUAUGAGCCUGCAAGGCAUCUUGUGGGUUGGAAAGAUUUUUUGGUUGGGGGUGGACUCGCGGCCUAUCAGCUUGUUGGUGAGGUAGUGGCUCACCAAGGCUUCGACGGGUAGCCGGCCUGAGAGAGCGACCGGCCACAUUGGGACUGAGAUACGGCCCAAACUCCUACGGGAGGCAGCAGUGGGGAAUAUUGCACAAUGGACGGAAGUCUGAUGCAGCAACGCCGCGUGCGGGAUGACGGCCUUCGGGUUGUAAACCGCUUUCAAUUGUGACGAAGCUUUUUGUGACGGUAGCAGUAGAAGAAGCACCGGCUAACUACGUG
rnacentral:rRNA from 1 species